GCUCCUUUGGUCCCCUGUGAUGCCUCUGCCUCCCUUUGGGAUCUGUCACUGUUCCUACCAGCAAAUCCUUCAGUUAUUUAAAAAUAUAGGUGUUUUUAAUACUACUCACCAUGAGGUAUUUUAACGGCUGCUUCCAAAAGAAAAAUAAUCUGCUAGUGUGUGCCAAGGAUUAUUCCAAAGGUUAAUAAUGGUUCUUUCUGGUCUUAAGCAAAUCUAUAAAAACAUCUUUUUUGGCAUGAUGAAUGGAAAAAAAGUUGUUUGGUCUUUGGGAGCUGCUAAGUCACCCUGAAUUGUGCUGGGCUGCUGAGACAUGGAAGGCUGCCUGUUUUAAGGUUUCUGUCACUGAGGCCUGGAGAAUCCAUGACUGUUCCUCAGUGCAAAACGCCCUUUGCCUCCAGGGAUCUGCUGUCCAGCCUUCCUUUUGCCAGGAUGCCUGUCCAGGCUCUCUGUCCCUAAGCUUUUGUGGCUGGAUUUGUAGCUGGGGUUUGUUCAGUAGCUUUGUUCCAGCUCUGCAGUCAGCACUAAGGCUGGCACUUUACCUAAGUGUGUUUCUACUUUUUUUAAGCCUUGAGCUUGACUGGUGUUGGGUGUGAAUCUGGAUAAAAGGUAUAAAUGUUGGGAAGUUUUAUCUCUGCAGCAGUAACAAAUUCAGAUAAUGACAGACCUGAUGGGAGCUAUAUCCCAACAGGGCUCAGGGCUUAAAGUUUCUCCUGUUUGCUUGCUAGGGCCUGCCUGGGGCUGCACCACACACGGCAGCUGGGAGGCUUCUGGCACACACAUGCUUGUUCCUUUCCUGUAAGGAGCAGAUGGCACAAAGACACUUCUUCAGGGCAAACCUUGAACUGUCACACUAAUGAAAAUGUAUAAUGAGAAUCCAUUCUAAAUGUUUUAGAUGCACUUGAACAUGGCAGUGAGCAGCAGUGUAUAAUCAAUAUGUUUAGUCCCUGUGGAGCAAGACAACGUAAACAUUAAGCCAGAACAGGUAUAGGAAUGGCCAGGGAAUUAUGGAGGCAUGUGAAUGAGAGAGUGUGGAAAGUGCCUGUGGCACAAUGCACCCUGGUAUUUGGUAUUUCAAGUGCAUGGAAGGGUGAGACUGAAAGGUUUAAGGUCACACCUGGGGUUGGUUUCUGACUGCAGUAUCCACGGGUCAAUGCCAUGUGUGUGGUUGCCCUGGCUGCUGACAAAGGCAAUUCUCUGCAUCUGCCUUUAUGGUUUCCUCUUAUGUCACACACUGUUCCUGUAUUUUUCAGGCAAGAAACAAAUAUCUUUGUAGAGUAAUCCCUCACGUGAUCGCCCUUGCUGCCCUUUCUGGACUCACCAGGGGCACUGCACCAUGAGGCUGAGACCAGCUGUGUGAAGCUGAGCUUCCACUUCCAGUUAACUGAAGCGCAGGCUGCUGCUAAAGGGCAGCACCUUUUCCUUCCUCUCUCCUUUUCCACCACUUCCCUGGUGCCUGGGUUUGGUGCUGUGUCACCAAAGCAGUCACAAAACCAGACAUUGCUAAGUACAUGAAGCUCCUGAGUGCUUCUUGAUCCUGCCUGUAUAUCUGCUGUGCUUUCCUGCUGCAGUCAGAGCCUUUGGGCAUCCUUCCUGGCAGUGCUGGGACACAGGUGGAUUCCAGGCUUGUUCCAAAGGCAGCAGGGAAUGGUGGUGCCUGGAGCUGAGGAGAGGGCUGUGGAGCAGCACACCUGACAAAGACAGUUUGGCACAUCCCUUUUUAAUAUUACAAAAUGAAGUAUUUCCACCAGGAAGCAGUGAAGGAAACAGCUUUGUCCUUGGAUUUUGAGACCACUUGGAUCAUUUUCAUUGUUUCAAGGUAGAGUGCCUUAUACCUCCUUACAAAGACAGAGUGCUGUAUUUGCUGCCACACAAGAAUCACAGUUCGUGUUUGUGUUACAGACUAGGGCCAUAAGGACACAUGGCUUUGUGUUCAUUGCUGGGUACAGCAUCACUUGGCUGAAAUCUCCUGGAGAGUGACCUCACAGUCUAGGAUGGAGACAACUCCUGAAGCUGGUGAAGAUGAUGCAGAACAUCACAGAAUAUCCUGGGGCAUUUGUUGUAAAGCUUUAGUGUGACUUCUACCUGAAUGUUCAAACCAGGCUCAGAGUUAGCAGUGCAUGCUGCCCUUGGAAAGCUGUGUGCUAAAAACAGAUUAAAGAUUAAAGCUUGUGGAAAAGUGCUUCAGCUUAUGCAGUAGCAUAAAUGCAAAUGUGUAAAGGGACAAUGGCCACAGGGAUUAAUAAAGGUUCCUGUUUUGUCCACAA